rnacentral:misc_RNA from 1 species
GAUGAAGAACGUAGCGAAAUGCGAUACGUAAUGUGAAUUGCAGAAUUCAGUGAAUCAUCGAAUCUUUGAACGCAUAUUGCGCUCUCUGGUAUUCCGGAGAGCAUGCUUGUUUGAGUAUCAGUAAACACCUCAACUUCCAUAUCUUUUUUUGAAAUGGGAGUUGGACUUGAGUGAUCCCAACGCUUUUCCUCACCGAAAAGUGGCGGGUUACUUGAAAUGCAGGUGCAGCUGGACUUUUCUCUGAGCUAUAAGCAUAUCUAUUUAGUCUGCCUAAAAAACAGAUUAUUACCUUUGCUGCACCUAACAUAAAGGAGAUUAGUUCUUGUGCUGACUGAUGCAGGAUUCACAAAGACAGCUUCGGCCGACUUUGUAAACUCGAUCUCAAAUCAAGUAAGACUACCCGCUGAACUUAAGCAUAUCAAUAAGCGGAGGA